rnacentral:rRNA from 1 species
CCUACGGGUGGCAGCAGUGAGGAAUAUUGGUCAAUGGGCGAGAGCCUGAACCAGCCAAGUCGCGUGAGGGAUGACUGCCCUAUGGGUUGUAAACCUCUUUUGUAUGGGAGUAAUAUGCUCCACGUGUGGAGUUAUGUCUGUACCAUACGAAUAAGCAUCGGCUAACUCCGUGCCAGCAGCCGCGGUAAUACGGAGGAUCCGAGCGUUAUCCGGAUUUAUUGGGUUUAAAGGGUGCGUAGGCGGCAUUUUAAGUCAGUGGUAAAAUUUUGGGGCUAAACCUCACUAAGCCGUUUAAACUGGCGGGCUAGAGUACAGGAGAGGUAGGCGGAAUGCGUUGUGUAGCGGUGAAAUGCAUAGAUAUCACGUAGAACUCCGAUAGCGAAGGCAGCUUACCGGACUGCAACUGACGCUGAUGCACGAAAGCGUGGGUAGCGAACAGGAUUAGAUACCCCUGUAGUG